rnacentral:rRNA from 1 species
GUCUAAGCAGUAAGGCUGAGUAUUAGGCAAAUCCGGUACUCGUUAAGGCUGAGCUGUGAUGGGGAGAAGACAUUGUGUCUUCGAGUCGUUGAUUUCACACUGCCGAGAAAAGCCUCUAGAUAGAAAAUAGGUGCCCGUACCGCAAACCGACACAGGUAGUCAAGAUGAGAAUUCUAAGGUGAGCGAGCGAACUCUCGUUAAGGAACUCGGCAAAAUGACCCCGUAACUUCGGGAGAAGGGGUGCUCUUUAGGGUUAACGCCCAGAAGAGCCGCAGUGAAUAGGCCCAAGCGACUGUUUAUCAAAAACACAGGUCUCUGCUAAACCGUAAGGUGAUGUAUAGGGGCUGACGCCUGCCCGGUGCUGGAAGGUUAAGAGGAGUGGUUAGCUUCUGCGAAGCUACGAAUCGAAGCCCCAGUAAACGGCGGCCGUAACUAUAACGGUCCUAAGGUAGCGAAAUUCCUUGUCGGGUAAGUUCCGACCCGCACGAAAGGCGUAACGAUUUGGGCACUGUCUCAACGAGAGACUCGGUGAAAUCAUAGUACCUGUGAAGAUGCAGGUUACCCGCGACAGGACGGAAAGACCCCGUGGAGCUUUACUGUAGCCUGAUAUUGAAAUUCGGCACAGCUUGUACAGGAUAGGUA